GAGGGUAUAGCUCAAAUGGUAGAGUGCAUGCUUAGCAUGCAUGAGGUCCUGGGUUCAAUCCCCAGAACCUCCU
rfam:Camelus ferus unplaced genomic scaffold scaffold701, whole genome shotgun sequence.